AUUGAACGCUGGCGGCAGGCUUAACACAUGCAAGUCGAGCGAGCGGCGGACGGGUGAGGAAUGUCUGGGAAACUGCCUGAUGGAGGGGGAUAACUACUGGAAACGGGAGCUAAUACCGAAUACCAUGAGAUGUGACCAGAUGGGAUUAGCUAGUAGGUGGGGUAAUGGCUCACCUAGGAGACGAUCCCUAGCUGGUCUGAGAGGAUGACCAGCGAAACUGGAACUGCGACACGGUCCAGACUCCUACGUGAGACAUCAGUGGGGAAUAUUGCACAAUGGGCGCCAGCCUGCUGCAGCCAUGCCGCGUGUGUGAAGAAGGCCGUCGGGUUGUAAAGCACUUUCAGCGAGGAGGCGUUACUCGCAGAAGAAGCACCGGCUAACUCCGUGCCAGCAGCCGCGGUAAUUC
rnacentral:rRNA from 1 species